rnacentral:lncRNA from 1 species
CAAUUACAUAAAAACCUGAGAAAACUAAACAUGAUCACUUUUAAAUAGAUGAUAGAUACUGCAGUAGCCAGACUUGAGUUGGUGCUGUUUUUGCCACCAGUGGCCAAGGGAGAUUUACUUGUUAGUAAACUUUCCGAAUGUGAGCCUCUGCCUAACUCACAGAUGAUGACCUUCUUAACCCAGGAGAUGUCCAAACCGGUACGCUUUCAUUUUCUGCUUUUGUAUCAUUGCAUACUAAUAAAACACUAUCGAAGUGGGGACACCUGUUAACAUUUAGUUGAGCAUAAAGGAAUAGCCUUCUCAACCGGGGUGACCCUAUUAGAAAUAUAAUUUCUGACGUGCAUCACCCAUUCCGCCCACAUACACCUCUCUGCCAUUUUGAGGCAGCUUAACAGGAUUCAGGUGGGAUUAUUAUUAUUAUACAUAUUUAUAAAUAAGUAUUAUAAAAAAUAAUGCAAAGACUUUCUGGUACCUCUGAUAGAUAAAUAUAUCAGAAUUGUUUUAUUUGAUAGAAAACAGAUAAAAGAAUGGAAUAAAAUCAAUAUUUUAG